rnacentral:rRNA from 1 species
UGGGGAAUCUUGGACAAUGGGCGCAAGCCUGAUCCAGCCAUGCCGCGUGGAUGAUGAAGGCCCUAGGGUUGUAAAAUCCUUUCGUCAGGGACGAUAAUGACGGUACCUGAAGAAGAAGCCCCGGCUAACUUCGUGCCAGCAGCCGCGGUAAUACGAAGGGGGCUAGCGUUGUUCGGAAUUACUGGGCGUAAAGCGCAUGUAGGCGGGUCGUUAAGUCGGGGGUGAAAGCCCAGAGCUCAACUCUGGAACUGCCUUCGAUACUGGCGACCUGGACCCAAGGAGAGGCGAGUGGAAUUGCGAGUGUAGAGGUGAAAUUCGUAGAUAUUCGCAGGAACACCAGUGGCGAAGGCGACUCGCUGGACUUGUGGUGACGCUGAGAUGCGAAAGCGUGGGGAGCAAACAGGAUUAGAUACCCCCGUAGUCCCUGAGCGGGCUGGCAAGGCGCAU